AUUGAACGCUGGCGGCAGGCCUAACACAUGCAAGUCGAGCGAGCGGCGGACGGGUGAGUAAUGUAUGGGGACUGCCCGAAAGCGGGGGAUAACAACUGGAAAAGGUGGCUAAUAACGUACUCUGUCGGCUACCGCAUAGGGGAAUAGCUAGUAGGUAAGGUAAUGGCUUACCUAGGCGACGAUCCCUAGCUGGUCUGCGAGGAGGAUCAGCCACACUGGGACGGAGACACGGCCCAGACUCCUACGGAGGCAGCAGUGGGGAAUAUUUGACAAUGGGCGAAAGCCUGAUGCAGCCAUGCCGCGUGUAUGAAGAAGGCCCGCGGGUUGUAAAGUACUUUCAUUCGGGAGGCGUUACCGACAGAAGAAGCACCGGCUAACUCCGUGCCAGCAGCCGCGGUAAUUC
rnacentral:rRNA from 1 species